ensembl:antisense 1110002L01Rik RIKEN cDNA 1110002L01 gene
GCCCUUGCGCACGACGGAGGGCGGCCCAUGGUCUGUGGGUCGGAUGUCUGGCGGUCACACCCGCCGGGAAGAUCUUCUGGCGGAAACAGAAUCUGCUCCUUUCGGGAAAGGCUGAUUGCGCGGUUACGUGCAGCGUGUGUUGAGGAGUGGCUCUGGAAACUUAAAGAGCCCGACGAUCAAGUGAUCUUGCCAACUACCGUUUUAAUCAGCAUGUUUUAUUUUGUUGUGGUACAGGCUCAGAGCCCAAUGCAAGCCCUGGCAGAUGUCUUCAACACCAGAGUGACACUCAGCCUGAAGGCCAGGAUUGAAGACUGGAAGUACAGGGGCAAGAAAUACCUUUGAAAAUACUCCAGUGUCCAGACUGCUCACUGGUGUUGCUGCCUUGUGAGCCAGGGCACGAGGCUUUGUUGAGGUCACUACUUUUCAUUCCCUCCAAGAUGGACAAGAUGUUUGUUUUGUGCACAGUAAGUGGAACACAGGGCCUCCGGCAUGGUGCUUGUAUGUUCCCUUCAGAAACUAAGGAAUGGAGCAGUGUCUUGAACGUGCUACACAAGCCCCCUAACAGCCAAGCGAAUCCAGCAGCUCUACAGACAUCCUUUCACUGAGCAGUUAUUUCUCCUCCGAUGUUCUGAUCGCUGUGGGCAGCCUCCAAACACUUUUUGAAAAAGCUGGAGAGAAAGGCGAGCUUGAAAAGGGGAAUGCAGGAUAGAGGCAAAGGGAGAGAAGCAGGCUCAACUGUGUUCAUCUCAACAGGGCUGGGGCCUGCAGGCUGCUGGCAGCACCAAGUUAAGGUGCAUUUCCACUCAACAGAAAGGCCUCCAUCCUAAACCAAGGGGGCAGAGGUUAAUGCUUUAUAUAUAUUUAUAUAUUUAUAUAUUACAUAUGUCCUAGAUAUACAUAUGUCCCAUAUGUAUAGAGUGACAAGAAUGGGCCACUUUGUGUAACUUUAAUUAAAGGCCAUAGCAACAGACAUAGAAAUUUGAUCCUAAUUAAGGCCCGUACUUUGUCAAUCAAAUGUGUGAUACAGUAAAAGAAAAAGGAGAGAGACAGAGACUGAGAUCCAGCCACCUCCAGGAGUCCUGUCUCCAGGGUAUCUUACAUUGAGUGUAGUGCCCCCUGUACAGGUGAACAUAAACACACACAUAAACACACACAUAUAAUACCACAGGCAGGAGCACCUCUUCUGACCACACCUUGGGCCCAGCCUUUGGCUGCGGUGCUGAAGUGGGGUGUAUUGUGCUAUAAGACUGUGAGGGUAGUGGACCAGACAAUGUGGAGUCAGUGUGUCCAAGUGAUGAAUGGGGUGACUCAUGCAGCUUCAUCUACAAAUGACAGAGAGCUCAGGGGGAGGUCCCUCAAUGCCCAGUUCACAUCAGGAGAUUUCUACACACAGCUCCUGUUCCAGAGAAAGCCAUUCCUCUGAUUUGAAUCCUGAGUGUCAAUCACAGGGUUCUGACAGAAACCUGGGAUCCCUUUGAAGGGCAGGCAGCCGCAAGGCUCCGCCAUUCAGUCCAGUGGAGCAGCAGAGAGCACAACAGUGGAGUCAAAGCAAAUGAUGCGCAGACAGGACCCUGAAUGGUGCAAGAGGGGCUCAUUUCCCAAAAGGUCGAGAAGGACUGCUGCCCUUUGCCACACAGAACUUCUGGCAGAUCUGUCAGCUUCAUGUCUUACAUAAGUAACAGACCUGCUCCUAAGCCAGGGAAGGAGACGCCCAACAUUAGGGCACUGGAAAUCCUAACUCCCUGUUUUCUCUCCCCGAAUUUACCCACUACCACCCACCAAAAUAUGCAUAUUGAAAAUAAGUCAACAUAUUUGGCAGUAUGUUUUUUAGUACUAAGAGAAUUUCUUAAUUUUUCAACCUAAUUUUACACUCAAUAAAUAAUAAUUAA